AAACCAGCACCUCAAGUUGUCAGGAGGAUUAUUGGGCCUAAAGCAUCCGUAGCCUGCUCUGUAAGUUUCCGGUUAAAUCCAUUUGCUCAACAAAUGGGCUGCCGGAAAAACUGCAAAGCUAGGGAGUGGGAGAGGUAGACGGUACUCGGUAGGAAGGGGUAAAAUCCUUUGAUCUAUUGAUGACCACCUGUGGCGAAGGCGGUCUACCAGAACACGUUCGACGGUGAGGGAUGAAAGCUGGGGGAGCAAACCGGAUUAGAAACCCGAGUAGUCC
rnacentral:rRNA from 1 species